rnacentral:rRNA from 1 species
GCAACAGCUCAGAUUUGGAAUCUGGUCCCCAGGGCCCGAGUUGUAAUCUGGAGAGGAUGCUUCUGGCGCGGCGCCUUCCGAGUUCCCUGGAACGGGACGCCGGAGAGGGUGAGAGCCCCGUACGGUUGGACGCCUAGCCUUUGUGAAGCUCCUUCGACGAGUCGAGUACUUUGGGAAUGCUGCUCAAAAUGGGAGGUAAAUUUCUUCUAAAGCUAAAUACCGGCCAGAGACCGAUAGCGCACAA